AAAUCAUCAUGCCCCUUAUGUUCUGGGCUACACACGUGCUACAAUGGCCGGUACAGACGGACGCAAAGCCGCGAGGCGGAGCAAAUCCGAAAAAAGCCGGUCUCAGUUCGGAUUGCAGGCUGCAAUUCGCCUGCAUGAAGUCGGAAUCGCUAGUAAUCGCAGGUCAGCAUACUGCGGUGAAUACGUUCCCGGGCCUU
rnacentral:rRNA from 1 species